UCGAGAAUUUUUCUCAAUGGGGGAAACCCUGAAGGAGCGACGCCGCGUGGAGGAUGAAGGUCUUCGGAUCGUAAACUCCUGUCAUUUGAGAACAAACAACCAUCAGUAACUACGGUGGUUUUGAUAGUAUCAGAAGAGGAAGAGGCGGCUAACUCUGUGCCAGCAGCCGCGGUAAUACAGAGGCCUCAAGCGUUGUUCGGAUUCAUUGGGCGUAAAGGGUGCGUAGGCGGUCGGGUAAGUCGGAUGUGAAAUCCUGGGGCUCAACCUCAGAACUGCAUUCGAUACUGCUCGGCUAGAGUACUGGAGAGGUGAGUGGAAUUCACGGUGUAGCAGUGAAAUGCGUAGAUAUCGUGAGGAAGACCAGCGGCGAAGGCGGCUCACUGGACAGUUACUGACGCUGAUGCACGAAGGCUAGGGGAGCAAACGG
rnacentral:rRNA from 1 species